UUUAUGGAGAGUUUGAUCCUGGCUCAGGAUGAACGCUGGCGGCGUGCCUAAUACAUGCAAGUCGAGCGAACGGAUGAGAAGCUUGCUUCUCUGAUGUUAGCGGCGGACGGGUGAGUAACACGUGGAUAACCUACCUAUAAGACUGGGAUAACUUCGGGAAACCGGAGCUAAUAC
rnacentral:rRNA from 1 species